ensembl:lncRNA
GAUCUUUUCACUGUCUCCAUAGUUUUGCCUUUUCCAGAAUGUCAUGUAUAUGAAAUCAUCCAAUACAUAGUCUUUUCAGAUGGCUUCCUUUGCAUAGUAAUAUGAAUUUAAGUUUUCUCCAUGUCUUUUCAUGGCUGUUAAACCAUUACUUUUUAGUGCCAAGUAAUAUUUCAUGGUCUUUAUAUACCACAGUUUAUUCAUAAGCCUACUAAAGGAUAUUUUUGUUAUUUUCGAAAUUUGACAAUUAUGCUUCCCUAGUGGCUCAGAUGGUAAAGCGUCUGCCUGUGAUGCAGGAGACCUGGAUUCUAUCCCUGGGUCAGGAAGAUCCUCUGGAGAAGGAAAUGGCAAUUCACCCUGGUAUGCUUGUCUGGAAAAUUCCAUGGAUGGAGAAGCCUGGAGAUGCAGUAAUCCCUGGGUUGUGAAGAUGCCCUGGAGGAGGAAAUGGCAACCCUCUCCAGUAUUAUUGCCUGGGAAGUGCCAUGGACAGAGGAGCCUGGCGGGCUACAGUCCGUGGAUCGUGAAAGAGUCAGACACGACAGAGCACACAGCACAGAAAGCUGAGUGUUGAAGAAUUAAUGCUUUUGAACUGUGGUGUUGGAGAAGACUCUUGAGAGCCCCCUUGGACUACAAGGAGAUCCAACCAGUCAAUCCUAAGGAAUCAGUCCUGAAUAUUCAUUGGAAGGACUGAUGCUGAAGCUGAAACUCCAAUACUUUGGCCACUUGAUAUGAAGAACUGACUCAUUGGAAAAGACCCUGAUGCUGAGAAAGAUUGAAGGUGGGAGGAGAAGGGGAUGACAGAGGAUGAG